rnacentral:miRNA from 1 species
AACUUUUUAAAAGGCAGAUUCUGAUUCUGGAGGACAGAGUGAGGUCUGAGGUUGUGCAUUUCUAACAACCUUCC